rnacentral:tRNA from 2 species
GGGACGUUAGCCCAGUUGGUUUAGAGCGCUGCCUUCACACGGCAGAGGUCACUGGUUCGAGUCCAGUACGUCCCACCA